rnacentral:rRNA from 1 species
UACGUAGGGUCGCAAGCGUUAUCCGGAAUUAUUGGGCGUAAAGAGCUCGUAGGCGGUUUGUCGCGUCUGCCGUGAAAGUCCGGGGCUCAACUCCGGAUCUGCGGUGGGUACGGGCAGACUAGAGUGAUGUAGGGGAGACUGGAAUUCCUGGUGUAGCGGUGAAAUGCGCAGAUAUCAGGAGGAACACCGGUGGCGAAGGCGGGUCUCUGGGCAGUAACUGACGCCGAGGAGCGAAAGCGUGGGGAGCGAACAGG